rnacentral:rRNA from 1 species
UGACCUCGGAUCAGGUAGGAAUACCCGCUGAACUUAAGCAUAUCAAUAAGCGGAGGAAAAGAAACCAACAGGGAUUGCCUCAGUAACGGCGAGUGAAGCGGCAACAGCUCAAAUUUGAAAUCUGGCCCUAGGCCCGAGUUGUAAUUUGCAGAGGAUGCUUUUGGCAAGGUGCCUUCCGAGUUCCCUGGAACGGGACGCCAUAGAGGGUGAGAGCCCCGUCUGGUCGGACACCGAGCCUCUGUAAAGCUCCCUUCGACGAGUCGAGUAGUUUGGGAAUGCUGCUCAAAAUGGGAGUAUAUGUCCUCCUAAAGCUAAAUACCCGGCCAGAGACCGAUAGCGCACAAGUAGAGUUGA